rnacentral:rRNA from 1 species
AUGGGAGCCAAGGGGGCGGCAAUGGCAUCGUCGGCGGCGGGGACGGCGGCGCUGGUCUAUGUCGUGCUCUCUGGACGGCUGUCCCCCGACGGCGCGGAGGAGGCGCCAAGGAGGCGGCACGGGCGGAGGGGCGUCGACGGGGGAAGCGAGGCGAGGUGGCCGGAGAGCGCGCCGGCGAGCUGGAGGGAGGCCGCGGCCGUGGUGGCGAGGACGGUGAGGUUCGCGUACGGCGAGACGCUGGGGAAGUGGCCGCUCGGGGACAUCGCCUUCGGGAUCAGCCACUACAUGCGCCUCCAGAUCAUUGGGCAUUCCAUGGGUGCUGCUAUUGCAGCUAUUUUAACAUACAUACUACGCGAGAACAAGAAGUUAUCAUCAUCUUCAUGUAUUGCCUUUGGACCAGCUGCUUGCAUGAGCUGGGACUUGGCUGAGUCCAGCAAAGACUUUGUCACCACUGUUGUCAAUAAAAAUGAUCUGGUCCCAUCUUUUGGCAAGGUCUCAGCCUCUGAGCUCCGUACAAAGGUUAUGGCAUCAUCCUGGGCACCUGGUCUUCAGGAACGUAUUCAGCAGAAAAGACUCCUGAGUUUUAUAAACCACUCUGUAGACUUCGUGCGAUCCUACAUUCCUUUUGUAUCCAGUCCAACUUCUAAGGUUGCAGAUGUCAAUAUGCUGCCACCUUGGACUGCCAAGGAUGAGAUGAAGCAUUCAGAAGGUGUGCAUGAAGUAGUGAAGGAGCAUUCUGCCCUAUCAUGCUGGACAUAUGUUGCUACAAAGAGUCAAACUUUUGAUGAAACUGAGAAAGGAACAGAUGGAGAACACAUGGAGCAGCUCCUGGAAGCCCUGCGAUCGCCGCCAAGUGCCUCUGAGACACCUCGGCAUCGCCAGUUGUACCCCCCAGGAAGAAUCAUGCACAUGGUUGCAUUGCGAAUAUCAGAAGAGCAAGGCAGCCAGACUGAGGGUGUUGCCCUCUACGAGACCCCUCGCGACAUGUACAACAAGAUCCGACUCGACAAAUCGAUGAUAAGGGACCAUUACAUGCCUAGGUACAUUGAGACGAUGGAGAUGCUCAUCGACCAGCUUGCAGAGAAUGACGUGCCUCCCAGUGACACCAACAACGUCCGGUUGGACUAA